rnacentral:rRNA from 1 species
CUACGGGCCGCAGCAGUCAAGAAUCUUUCGCAAUGGCCGAAAGGCUGACGGAGCAAUACCGCGUGAAGGAAGACACUCUUCGGAGCGUAAACUUCUUUUCUUAGGGAAGAAUUUGUGACGUUACCUAAGGAAUAAGCCACUGCUAACUUCGUGCCAGCAGCAGCGGUAAUACGAAGGUGGCAAGCGUUAUCCGGAAUCAUUGGGCGUAAAGCGUCUGUAGGCGGCUUGUUAAGUCUCAAAUUAAAACUCUAGGCUCAACCUAGAGGUAGUUUGAGAAACUAAUAAGCUAGAGACUGGGAGAGGCAAACGGAAUGGCUGGUGUAGUAGUAAUAUGCAUUGAUAUCAGCUAGAACACCAAAAGCGAAGGCAGUUUGCUAGAACAGAUCUGACGCUGAGAGACGAAAGCGUGGGUAGCGAAUGGGAUUAGAUACCCCCGUAGUC